rnacentral:rRNA from 1 species
AGAGUUUGAUCCUGGCUCAGAUUGAACGCUGGCGGCAUGCCUUACACAUGCAAGUCGAACGGUAACAGGUCUUCGGACGCUGACGAGUGGCGAACGGGUGAGUAAUACAUCGGAACGUGCCCAGUCGUGGGGGAUAACUACUCGAAAGAGUAGCUAAUACCGCAUACGAUCUGAGGAUGAAAGCGGGGGACCUUCGGGCCUCGCGCGAUUGGAGCGGCCGAUGGCAGAUUAGGUAGUUGGUGGGAUAAAAGCUUACCAAGCCGACGAUCUGUAGCUGGUCUGAGAGGACGACCAGCCACACUGGGACUGAGACACGGCCCAGACUCCUACGGGAGGCAGCAGCGGGGAAUUUUGGACAAUGGGCGAAAGCCUGAUCCAGCAAUGCCGCGUGCAGGAUGAAGGCCUUCGGGUUGUAAACUGCUUUUGUACGGAACGAAAAAGCUUCUCCUAAUACGAGAGGCCCAUGACGGUACCGUAAGAAUAAGCACCGGCUAACUACGUGCCAGCAGCCGCGGUAAUACGUAGGGUGCGAGCGUUAAUCGGAAUUACUGGGCGUAAAGCGUGCGCAGGCGGUUAUGUAAGACAGAUGUGAAAUCCCCGGGCUCAACCUGGGAACUGCAUUUGUGACUGCAUGGCUAGAGUACGGUAGAGGGGGAUGGGAUUCCGCGUGUAGCAGUGAAAUGCGUAGAUAUGCGGAGGAACACCGAUGGCGAAAGCAAUCCCCUGGACCUGUACUGACGCUCAUGCACGAAAGCGUGGGGAGCAAACAGGAUUAGAUA